GGCAAAUAGAACCGUGAGUAAUGAUCAGUUAUUAUUGACUGCCACACUUUCAAAUCCAGUUUGACAAUCUGAUUUAUUAAGAAAAAGAUAUUAAUCUAUUUCAGUAAAUCCUUGCAUGAUUGUAUAAAUGAAUGGUGUAAGCUAUGGAUCCAUGGAUAGAAUGUCUCAAUUUUUUAAUCAUCUGCUCUGCUCUCUGCUUUUCAGAAUGGACGUGCUUGUGCUGAUUUAAGGAUUCUUCCAGAAUCCCAAGCUGUAUGGUUGCGUCUUUGUAUCAGGAGCAUGGAGAACAUCAACGGCUGCAUCAAACUGAUCUUAGGUUCUGCCGCAGUCAAGAUUAUGUUGCCUAAUGUGUUGUCUACCAUGGACCAUUAGCAGAUGCUGAAAAGAGAACAGGAUAAAUGCGCUGGAGUAGAUUUAAGCAUCUCCCAUGGUCAGGGGCUCUUUGGACGCGUCUGUGUUAGGAGCCUCAAGACCCGUAACAGUCCGUCUUGUGCUGAUUUUAGCACUCUGCCCUGGCCUCAUACUCAGUGGUUUCUUAGGAGCGUGGAGAUCGUGUGAGUAAUCUUCAAAGCACUCGUCUUGGUUUGGGUGGUUUCUAGGGGCCAGUGCCUUCUUAAGAAGUAGGAACUUUUAUCACAGAAGGGAGCCACAGUCCAAGGAGGAACAUGGCAUUGAUAGGAAAUACUGCAUUGAGGCGUCCAUGUAGGACACACUGAGGUCAAUUCAAGAAACAGAUCUAGUGUCUGGGAAAUGAUUUUCUAGGUAGACAUUCGGGAUAUCAAGGCUCUUAUUCUAGUUUUUUUUUUUCUGAUUCAUGUGUAUUUCUUUAUUCGUAAGUCAUAACUUAAUAAGCAAAUCAACAGGCAAAGAGUAUGUGAAGAAGAAGAUUCAUGUGCUUGGACCUUUGGUGACAACUGGUGGUGUCCAAGUCAAGGCUGGUUAAUAGCAUCGUUUGCACAUCUGAGGUCUAACACGAGAAGACAUCUCACCCAUUCCUCUGCUGGAAAUGGCCCUGUGGAGAGCCGUGCCAAAUACUCCGUUAGGCUGUUGUUGCACUUUUCUGGGUCAAGGGUAAUGAUUCUAUUACUACAAGUGCAGUCUAAGUAAAUUAAUGCAUGAAGAUGUAGCAAAUAGGAAUAAAUAGGGAGUUCCCAUUGUGGCCCAGCAGGUGGUGACCUUAACCACUAUCCAUGAAGAUGUGGGUUUGACCCCUGGCCUCACUCGGUGGGUUAAGGAUCCAGUGUUGCCAUGAGCUGUGGUGUAGGUUGUAGACGCAGCUCAGUUGUGGCUGUGGUGUUGGCUGGCAGCUGCAACUCUCAUUCACCCACUAGCCUGGGAAUUUCCAUAUGCUGCAGGUGUGGCCUUAAAAAAAAUGAAUAAAUAAGCAAUGAGGAACUAGUCUAUAGCACAAAGAACUCUACUCAGUAUUUUGUAAUAACCUAUAAGGGAAAAGAACCUGAAGGAGAAUAAGAAUGUGUAUGCACAACGGAAUCAGUUUGCUAUACACCUGAAACUAACACGGCAUUGUAAAUCAUCUAUACUUCAGUAAAAUACAGGAAUAAGUGAAUAAAAACAU
rnacentral:lncRNA from 9 species